rnacentral:tRNA from 1 species
GGAGAGAUGGCCGAGUGGACGAUGGCGCAUGACUCGAAAUCAUGUAUACCCGUGAGGGUAUCGGGGGUUCAAAUCCCUCUCUCUCCG